AACUGGCGACCCAUUUGGAGGUGCUGGGCGCCAAUGAAUGCCAAGUUCUUUCUAUGGCUAGUUUCCCUGGACUGCUGCUGGUCUGCAGAACGAAGAGCGCGUCACGGUCUGCCUCAAGAUUCCCAUUGCAAGUUGUGUGACCAAGAGUUCGAGACCAUGGAUCACUUGCUUGUUCAAUGCGCCUUCUCGAGGGUCACUUGGCACGAGAUCCUAUCCUGGUGUCGCCUCCCGGUGCCCCUGCCCGAUGCCAACUCAUCCUUCUUCACGUGGUGGUCCGCCUUGUUGGCUGCUUCUCCGGCUUGUCAGAUUUUGGGUUCCGACAGACCCUUGAGGUUCGAACACUGGGGUGCACGCGGAGAUUUCGCCUCCUACCUAGCUGCACCCCUCCGCCUUGCUAGGAUCUAA
rnacentral:rRNA from 1 species